rnacentral:rRNA from 1 species
UCAGAUGAACGCUAGCUACAGGCUUAACACAUGCAAGUCGAGGGGCAGCAUCAUCAAAGCUUGCUUUGAUGGAUGGCGACCGGCGCACGGGUGAGUAACACGUAUCCAACCUGCCGACAACACUGGGAUAGCCUUUCGAAAGAAAGAUUAAUACCGGAUGGCAUAGUCUUCCCGCAUGGGAUGAUUAUUAAAGAAUUUCGGUUGUCGAUGGGGAUGCGUUCCAUUAGGCAGUUGGCGGGGUAACGGCCCACCAAACCUACGAUGGAUAGGGGUUCUGAGAGGAAGGUCCCCCACAUUGGAACUGAGACACGGUCCAAACUCCUACGGGAGGCAGCAGUGAGGAAUAUUGGUCAAUGGACGAGAGUCUGAACCAGCCAAGUAGCGUGAAGGAUGACUGCCCUAUGGGUUGUAAACUUCUUUUAUACGGGAAUAAAGUUAGCCACGUGUGGCUUUUUGUAUGUACCGUAUGAAUAAGGAUCGGCUAACUCCGUGCCAGCAGCCGCGGUAAUACGGAGGAUCCGAGCGUUAUCCGGAUUUAUUGGGUUUAAAGGGAGCGUAGGCGGGUUGUUAAGUCAGUUGUGAAAGUUUGCGGCUCAACCGUAAAAUUGCAGUUGAUACUGGCGACCUUGAGUGCAACAGAGGUAGGCGGAAUUCGUGGUGUAGCGGUGAAAUGCUUAGAUAUCACGAAGAACUCCGAUUGCGAAGGCAGCUUACUGGAUUGUAACUGACGCUGAUGCUCGAAAGUGUGGGUAUCAACAGGAUA